CAAGUCCCAAGCACCUUUAUACUUUUUCUUCUCUUUUCUCAACCACUAUCGUGGCGUCUAAAAUCACAUAUAGUAAUCUCUAAUAAAUCCAAGCACUUCGUAGUUGACCUAUGGUGUACUGGGGAUAUACACUCUGUGCCAAAUAUUUAAUUCGUUACUAGGAUUUUAUUUUUUGUUUUUCUCAUUUAGUAUCAUUCUUUCAGAUUUGUUACCGGUAUUAUCUCCUUCUCACCAGUCUGCUUUAAAAAUCCUCUUAUUUUCUCACUUUUCCUCUAUUAUGUACUUGAUAGUUAAGAGUUUUACUAGAUACUAAACAAGAGUUCCACAUUACUCCAUUGCUUGGGUUGCUGAAUCAUGGGAGAAUUCAAAUUUACAAGAGGAAACUACUUGCGAGGAAAAAAAGUUAGCGUUCAAUUCAAUACAAUAUGUUGUAAAUAUGUAUUUUUUGAAUUUUAAACUUGAAUCAAGUUGUUGUUAUGGCUAAGAAUAUUGUAUGCUGAUUUCUCUAUGAAGUGUUCCCCUAUGAUCCUACAUGUGGUUGGUGAUUCCCCAACAAUUGGUGCUCUGGAGAGAUUCAUUACUUUACAAUGGAAUUUUGCAUCCAAACCAAAGGUAUAGCACAACAAGCUUGGAGUACAAGGACUACAGGAAAAACUAUUAGUAAGGCAAACUCUAAUAAGAGUUCAAUAUACUUUGGUGGAGUAAAGAGUGCUGUCACACAAAAAAUACUACAGAUACUUGGUUUCAAUAAAGGUUCAUUACCUUUUAAAUAUCUAGGGGUUCCUCUUAGUACCAAGAGAAUGCCUCUACUGCAAUGUUACUCUUUGGGGGUAAGAAUUAUGGGAAAUAUUACUUCCUAGGCUUCUGAAUACCUAUCUUACUCUAGAAGGCUGCAGUUGAUUAAAAGUAUUUUAUGUUCAGUACAAUCCUACUGGUCACAUGAGUUUUUUCUUCUUAAAGAAGUUAUGCAAGCUUUAGAGGGCAUAUGUAGAAGAUUCUUAUGGACUGGAAGGGCUGAAGUGUCCAAGAAAGCAUUAAUAGCCUGGGAAGCAUUGUGUAGGCUUGUGGUGGCUGGUGGAAUCAAUAUCACUGACCUUUGAUUGUGUAAUAAGGUUGCUAAACUACUGUGGAAUCAAUGUAAGAAUAAAGACAAGCUUUGGGUGCAAUGGGUCCAUAUCUACUACAUUAAGGAAGCUCCUAUCAAGGAUGUAGCGCCUAAACAAGCUUCAUGGCUGCCACAAAAGUUUUUAAAGCACAUUAAUAUGCCCAGGAGGCAGUCUCACUAUUCGUGAUCUCACUAACAUGGAGAAGUUUUCUAUCAGGAAAAUAUAUAGUAAUUUACUAGGUGAUUUUCAGAAGGUAGCUUAAAGGAGAUUGAUAUGUAAUAAUGUUUGUCCUGCCAAGUGGAUUUUUAUAUUAAUACUAGCUAUUAUGAAUAGAUUAUACACAAAAGAUAGGUUGG